rnacentral:lncRNA from 1 species
CAUCAGUUCUCAGGGACUUAGUGAAAAUUCCUGCACCUGAGUUUCUGUUUCUGUUCUGAAGCUUUUGACAGCAAUCAAAACACAAGCUACUGUACUCCAAAUGACUUUCAAAUUGACAGGAAACUUCACAAACAUACCAGGUUCAAAACACUAGCACUGAACUAAGUCCAGUUCUCAACAUAAUGACCAGAACAACCUUGUCUACAGGGGAAGAAAAUGUUUUCAGCAUCCCAGACUUAGUGAAAUUUUCAGAGUUCAAAAAUCUGGAAUUUUCCAACCACAUGCCCACUUUGUCUAGGCAUAGUUUGCACACACAAGUUCCCAAGAGGUGUUUGACACCACUAUGGUAUUGAGCACAAACCCCUACAAC